UACGGAGGGGGCGAGCGUUGUCCGAAGUUACUGGGCGUAAAGGGCGCGUAGGCGGGGAGGUAAGUCCGCUGUGAAAGCCCGGUGCUCAACACCGGAGGGUCGGUGGAGACUGCCUCUCUUGAAGCGGCUAGGGGGAGAUGGAAUUACCGGUGUAGCGGUGAAAUGCGUAGAGAUCGGUAGGAACACCCGUGGCGAAGGCGGUCUCCUGGGGCUUGCUUGACGCUGAUGCGCGAAAGCUGGGGGAGCGAACGGG
rnacentral:rRNA from 1 species